GGGGGGCUAGCUCAAAUGGUAGAGCGCGCGCUUCGCAUGCGUGAGGUACCGGGAUCGAUACCCGGGUCCUCCA
rnacentral:tRNA from 1 species